rnacentral:rRNA from 1 species
UGAGGAAUAUUGGACAAUGGGUGGAAGCCUGAUCCAGCCAUCCCGCGUGAAGGAUGACGGUCCUAUGGAUUGUAAACUUCUUUUGUACAGGGAUAAACCUGCCCUCGUGAGGGCAGCUGAAGGUACUGUACGAAUAAGCACCGGCUAACUCCGUGCCAGCAGCCGCGGUAAUACGGAGGGUGCGAGCGUUAUCCGGAUUUAUUGGGUUUAAAGGGUCCGGAGGCGGGCCUGUAAGUCAGGGGUGAAAUCUCAUAGCUUAACUAUGAAACUGCCAUUGAUACUGCAGGACUUGAGUAAAUUUGAAGUGGCUGGAAUAAGUAGUGUAGCGGUGAAAUGCAUAGAUAUUACUUAGAACACCGAUUGCGAAGGCAGGUCACUAAGAUUUAACUGACGCUGAUGGACGAAAGCGUGGGGAGCGAACA